rnacentral:sRNA from 1 species
AUGUACGUUUGCCGAGUAUGUACACACUGUUGAAGUAAGUACACUUUGGUGAUAUCUGGAGCGCCAUUACCGAUAUAUAAAAAUGUGUAAUAAAGCAUGUCGAAACAUGUGACUUCUGAGCAUAAACACAGUACAUGUAGAAGUUUGAUAGAGGCCGGACGCGGAUCCAAGGAUUUUCAGGGCCGAGGCGAGGGGAACUUAUAUUGUUACCUGAAAGGGGGUAUCCAUGGAUGUGUUUGAAUUCAGUGAAGAGUGAUUCUGCUGAGUUCAUCAAAGCUUAGUGCUUUCGGAAAAUGCUCUCCCUUGGUCUGUUUGAAAUCCCUGGUUGACAUAACCAGGCAAGGACUCCGGAAGAGUAUGUCGUAAGCCACUAGCUAUUGUAAAUUUAUCGGGAUACUCGUAGGCCGCGUUGUCGUAGGCCUUCACCCCAUUUUGUUCCGUGGGUACUUGCGGAGCGUACCGACCUUUUCUGUUUUCUGGUGACGCGGGACCCCACUCGGGACGGGGAAGAAACUCACCCCGGAAACCCUGGACAAAAGAGAAAGAGAAAGUCAUGCAUUAUCGUAUGUGUAUAUGAUAUAUUUUUGCGUAAAAGAUAUUUCUAUUGAUCUACAACCGUCAUAUGUGACCCCCCCUAAAAAUGAAAUUCAUGCAAUGUUACAUAUACACUAAUAUAGAUUAUAUCAUU